CAUUUGCCUUAUAAUUGAAGGCUAGUAUGAAUGGUUUGACAAGAAUGUAGCUGUCUCUUUAUAAUUAAACAGAAUUUUAUUUAUAGGUGAAGAAGCCUAUAUUAAAUUAAAAGACAAGAAGACCCUAUCGAGCUUGAAAUAAAUUAGUAGACUAAAUAAUUAAUGGUGUCAGAAAAUUAACUAUUAGAAAUUUUAGUUGGGGCGACUGAGGAACAAAAAAAGCUUCCUUUAAAAAUGAAAAACUAAACAAGUAUUGAUCCAAAACAUUUUGAUUAAAGGAAUUAGUUACCGUAGGGAUAACAGCAUUAUCUUUUUUAAGAGCUCUUAUCGAAAAAAAGGUUUGUGACCUCGAUGUUGGACCAGAAUAUCCUAAAGAUGCAGCAGUCUUUAAGGGUUGGUCUGUUCGACCAUUAAAAUUCU
rnacentral:rRNA from 1 species